UCAUUUCUUACAUGCUACCUCUCAUUGUUAGAAUAUUGAGACAUACAUAAAGGAAAAACAAAACACCAGCAUGCUUUUGUCAUCCUAGUAACCAAAACUGACCAGAAUGUCCGAGUUAUUCAGGUAUACUAGUAGAAAUAGUUGUAAACAAUGAUGUUCUAUGCUUUUGUCAUUACACAAUGGUUUGCAUCUGUUGUCAUCUUUCCAUUGGAUUUGGUUGCAUUUUCA
rnacentral:lncRNA from 1 species